AAUUUCUGGUAUGGUGCGCCUGGCCCGCUGCAGCAAUGUACGCGAGUGUCGGUGUGCGUCUGCCAUCUUUGUGUGUGAAACUCCUCUUCACUGGGGAGUAGCACCACAUCUUUUACUUUGAAAAAAUUAGAGUGUUUAAAGCAGGCUUGCGCUAUGAAUACAUUAGCAUGGAAUAAUAAUUUAGGACUUCGUUUCUAUUUUGUUGGUUUCUAGGGAUGAAGUAAUGAUUGAUAGGGAUAGUUGGGGGUGCUAGUAUUCAUCGGCCAGAGGUGAAAUUCUUGGAUUCGAUGAAGACUAACUUAUGCGAAAGCAUU
rnacentral:rRNA from 1 species